AGCUCAGCUGUUCACAAUUUAUAAACCAGUGAGAACUGAGCAGCAUCACAAAGGCAGGAGGAACAAGAUGGAGUUACAGUCCCAGGUCCUAAUGUUGAUGUUGCUAUGGGUGUCUGGUACUUCUGGGGACAUUGUGAUGACUCAGUCUCCAUCCUCCCUGGCUGUGUCAGCAGGAGAGAAGGUCACUAUGAGCUGCAAGUCCAGCCAGAGUCUUUUAUAUAGUAAAGAUCAAAAGAACUACUUGGCCUGGUACCAGAAGAAACCAGGGCAAUCUCCUAAACUGCUGAUAUACUAUGCCUCCACUAGAGCAUCUGGUGUCCCUGAUCGCUUCACAGGCAGUGGAUCUGGGGCAGAUUUCACUCUGACCAUCAGCAGUGUGCAGGCUGAAGACCUGGCAGUUUAUUACUGUCAGCAGCUUUAUAGUACUCCUCCCACAGUGCUUCAGCUUCCUACACAAACCUCCUUGAGACACUCACCAGCUGCCUGCACCACACAUAGCCCUGGAUUUGCAUACUUCCUCCUUCUAAAUGAGAGCCAGUGUGCCUAAAACACUAAUGAAAAAGUUUGCAAAGUCCAGCAAAAACAAAGGGUUCAAAAAUCCUUUUUGUCCUUUGCUAUGUAAAACCUCUUUAAGAACAUGCAGAAAAGAAAUCGUUACUAUAGUCCUUUUCUAUCUGUAACAAUUUGCUUGAAUGUGAGAGAGUUAUAUUCUAGAGUCCCAGUAUCUAAUAUAAGUCUCUUUGGUCUGAGUGAUGAUGAUGGCAAAUUCCAUUUUGUCUCGGCUCUCUGGAAACAGAAUUUGUUUCUUGCUUUUUCUAGCCUCUAAA